AGGAAGGCGCUAGGCUUGGAAAGCAGUUGUUGGCGCUGGUGGUCGAAGGUGAGGAUGAUACGGCGUGGAAGUUACUGGCUGAAUUUUGGUCGGAGAUGAUCGUGUAUGUCGCGCCAUCCGACAACCUCGAAGGUCAUUCGAAGGCCAUCGCCAGGGGUGGCGAGCUGAUAACUCUUGUCUGGGUGUUGCUCUUCCAUGCUGGGAUCGUCAGUAGGCCAGGUGAGGACGACGGCGUUGCUCCUACUUCUGCUGGCGUGGUUUAGUAGAGCCUCCUAUGUUUGGAACUACUGUUUCCUCCUUGUUUCGGAUUCUUCAUCGUGGUGCGUUGUCUGCAGUUGUUUGUUAUGUUGAGUUCAUUUCAAAUACCAGAAUUUGUUAACUUGUGGCAGCAUGUGACUCCAUCUUGGUAAUCUGAUCAUCAAUUGUAACAAGUCUAUUUAGAGGUCCUAUAAUAUUGUCGAGACUCGAUAUUCAGAUGUAAUGUUAAAUUAUUUCUACGUAUUGUGAUCAAUAUAUAUGUUUUAAUUUGGUAUUGUAAUGAAGUGCUAGUAUAUUACACUAUUACUAAUUGGAGGCUCCUAGUCCUGACGAUACGGAAAAAUAGAUAAAUCUUAUAAAUUCCCACAAAAUUAAAAUCAAAAACAUCCAACCGUCAAUCCAGUAGACUAUAAUCGUAAUAACCAUUGGAUCUAUUAUGUUCUAAAAAAUUAAUCACGUCCCUCAUUCUAAUAAUGGUAUAAAGUAACUCCUAAUUCUAUAUCGAAAUUACCCACCUCUAGCAUAGGUGGGUAAUUUAUAUAGUUGGCAUCAUAACGACACCCAGUUUCUAGUUGCGAAUUGAGCCGGUUAUGAUGCUGGAACACAACCAGUGGUGGAGGAUGGAAUAAAUUUAAGGUAUGACAAAAUCAAAAAUUGAAAGUAACAAAAAGAUAUCCUUUUCAUUAUAAUAGCACGAAACAGUGAAGGACGGAAUAAAUUGCAAGCACGAUAAUCAAAUAUUUAGGAGAUAAUAGCUGCAGGUCAAGAGAUGAUCAAACAUUUAGGAAAUUAUAACACACGAAAAUGCACAACCACCGAUUGACCAAAACCAAAAGGAAAUUAAAAUGAAUGCCUAAUGAUUUGAUUUCAAAUAAAAAAUGCUAAAAAUGAAAAUUUGCAAUCUGUACCUCUCAAUUUAGCCUUGCCCUUACCCUUCGACUCCAUUUUAGCCUAUGCACUUCUGAUUCCCUGCGCUGUACGCUGCUUCUCUUGGCGGCCGGCCGACGGUGCACUUCGGCACCUGCCGACCUCACGCUUGCUGCCUGCACCCGUACGUCGCACUGUCGCAUCUCGCAGGGCGCAACGUCGCAGCGUGACCUCGGGCCUCGACGUCGCCCGUGACCGGUGAUCGCCAAAGCGCUAAGGGUUGCGACGAGCACAAGCGCUAGCUAGGUCUCUCGUGUGGAUAUUGGGCUGCUAGUGUUUUGGGCCACUAUGCACCAGGGAAAAAAAACAAAUCAAUUGGCCCAAUGCAAAGAACACUCGGCCUUGGCAGCACGUUUCCUUUCUUCUUCCUGGACCUUACAUUCAUAUCAGUUCGUCGCUCAUACAGGCAGCCAUGACGUCCUGUGUGUAGAUGCAGCAACGGAAGGGGAAUGCCAUACUGGGCCCUCCGCCCCUGAGCACAACUGAUUCUUGAGCAACUGGGAGUGACAUGCAGUGCUGCAACAGUUCAAAUUAAAGGAACUGCAAAUAAAUGGAUGAAAAUGAAGGCAGAGAAAGAGGAAAAAGGAUCGAAUCAAAGAGAAAAAGGAAAAGGAAAACCCACAUGCUAUGCUAGGAUGAAGAUCAUGGCACACAGAUGCAGCCAAAGGGUCCGAUCGAUCCGAAAAGGAGAAGGGAACUGUGUGGUGGCGAUGACAGUUUUGUCUCUCUCUCAGUGCAGCGAUCUGGGCACUAAGGAAAGAACAAGGAAACAAUUUAUCGACACAAGCUGAUUUAUCGAUCAUCCUGUGAAGAAUUCUAUUUUUCUCGUUUCAAAAGCUCAUAUGGAUUAUCUCGUUGAGUUCCGGCUGUUUCUGUAUUCUCUCCAUGACUCCAAAGAGCAACAAAACCCACCACCAUAUUAACAACCAAAUAAAAACGCUUUCCAUAGAACAUAUGCUUCUGUCGGUGAAAUCGAAGAUGAAAGGACGAAUGAAGACGAGCAAAAAAGGAAAUGCUUUGUUUUGCGCUUUUGAGUCCCCCUACCAUCAUGCAUUUGUUCCAAUUUUAUUAUCAGCUUCGGUGCUGAGAAUGAUGUAAAAUUUUGCUGCGUGUAGUUGCAGAGGUCGGAAAUAAUUUCCUUUUUCUAAAAAAUACAUUUGUUCCAAUUGAGCCUGUAGGCUCAGGGCGUAGCAGCUCCCUUCAUAACGAAGGUUCACUUGUGUGGUCAAUAACCUCUUCCAAAGAGGCAGGGACGUCGGAACCUAGGGAAAGAUGCGAUAUGGUUUGCAAGAGAAUAUUUACUUGUGCUUAUUGCAAUGCGUGUUGCACGCAUAGUUCCUUUUUAGCUGCUUGUUCUUGUUUUUUUAUUUUCUUCCUUAAAACUUAUCAUUGACGGCGAAGUGGAAAUAUUAACAUGGCCUUAUCCUGAAUAACCAAAUUAAUUAAGUUAACUAAACAAUCAAAUUAAUUAAGCUAAAGAAGUGACCAUGUGCAUGGACUUCGCCUAUCUGCAACGGAUCUUUUGACUUGAAAGAAAAAUACCAAAAGGCAGUCAAGGUACCUUUUGGCGAGGAGACUAUCAUCAUUGCCAUAACAGAAAAUAUUUUAGGUUUAAUCUAGAUACCCUAGGCAGUAAUAAGGAGAUUACUUUACUAUUACUAAUUGGAUAUUCAUUUCAAAGGGCCGUUAUAAAAAAAAGUAAAUCCAAAAAAUAAUCAUAAAAAUAAAAAAAAAUCUGAGACCUUCGAUAUGGUAUACCCUAAUCAUCAAUGGUGGACCCACGGAUCGUACAGAGCCUGGCACUCUUCCUGUCUCCAGCAAACGAUGUUCCGACCAUGAACUAAAACAACUAUCCUCUUGCAGAUGUGGUGCCAGAACCCGAGUAGACGACCCAGGCCUCAGGACCACCCCGGUAAUCAUAUGAUAACAGUAGACAUUCAAUAUAUUAUGUUCUUUAAUAAUUACACACAUCUCUCGUUAAUGCAGGGAGCACUCCUGAAAAGGUGCACUUCUAACUUUAUCCUAAGUCAAGCCAUCUAAAAUUGGUGUCGUAAAUAUUAUAUCAGUACUCUGUUCUCUGUAAAUCUGGUUAAAUUAAAAAUAAUAACUUAGGAUAAAUCUAGAAAUAUUUUUUUAGGACAAAGGGAGUAAGUCCAUCUUAUUUGGUAAUAUUAAGGUUCUGUUUGGCAUGACUACAACUCCACAAAUUUCUUCUCCAACUCCCAAACUCCAGCUGAAGCUAACUCUAAGUGGAGUUGCAGUUAUCUAGAGGGGGUGUUUCACUAGAGGCUACCACCAACUCCAAAAAAUAGGAUUUUUUAGGAAGGAUUGACAUUGUUACCCUCAACUUGUGGCCCACCUGUCAUUCUCCCAUUCCCUAGCUUCUUCCACAGGAGGCCAAAGGAGCUCAUGUGGGAUGAGGGUCUCCUUGAGCUAGCAUGGCAGGACCCGGGAUGGCUACGGUAGCGCUGGCUGGUGGCAGCACAGGAUGGGCGCCGGUGGCGUGUGGUGUCGGUGGGAGCCGACACACCGGUCGGGCGGAGGUCGGGUGCCGACUCGAUUGGAAGUGGCGCCGGCCAGGAGGAGGCUGCGCGCUAGCGGAGCGCCAGGCAGGCAGAUGCGGCGUAUGUGGCGCCGGCCUGAAAGAGGCACCGCGUGAGGUUGGGCGUAGGCUCGAUUGGAGGAUGGAGCGGCCAUGGCCGGGGCUCGAGGCUCGUGCUUGGCCGUCGCAGGGAAGGAGAGAGGGGUGGGGGCAGCUGCACAUGGGGCCGUGCGGUGGCGCGGGAGGGGCGGGCUAGGCCGCGGGAGGAGUGGGGGCUGGCCGGUGGCGCGUCAGUGAAAGGAAGAGAGAGGAAGGUCGAGGCUGAGAUAGGGACGGGAGAAAGAAGAAAAGAACGAAUCAAUUUUUUUAACGAGUGUCAGUGGUGGGUAAAUACCCCCUAACUCCACGUUCAGAUCUAUAUUCAAGAUUCAUGGAGUUGCAAAAGGGGUGCUUAGGGGGGUGUUCGAUGUUUUUUCUGGAGCUGGAGUUUGUGGAGCUGGAUGUGUUUGGCAGGCAAUUUUGUGGAGUUGGUGAAGUGGAGCUUUUUUUCUAGAGUGAAGUGUUACCAAACACCCCUAGAAAAAGAACUACAGCUCCAUAAACUCCAUGGAGUUAAGUUGCUCUAUAAGUUUGUGGAGUUAAGGUGUUUGGCUGGCCACACUCAACUCUUGGCUGAAGUUUGAAGUUGGAGUCAUGCCAAAUAGGACUUAAGAACAGAAUAAUCGAAUCUCACCGUUUGCAUGGACGAAUCCAAACGUAAUCCUAUUGUGGUCUCCUUUUUUCUCCUUCAUUGUGGUCUUACUGCUUUAGCCUUUAGCUCUACGCUGCAUCGUCAUCCAAUCCUAUUGUGGAAGUCAGGAAUCAUACUACAUCGAAGGGCAAAUUAAAAGCACGGUUGUGCAGGCAAAAGCCGGAGGUCCAAAGCACACUGGAGGUAGCAAAGAAGAAAGAAACGCGCGCCUCUUGGCACAGCCUCUCUAUAAAUAACCAAGCAUAGUUCCCGGGCCAGCGGCCAGCAGGAUUGCACGGGCAUCAUUCAUCAGUCAGCUGCAUCUGUCGAUCUCUACCAGCUUACGGUAACUCCUUUAAUUUCUUGUAAUAAUCAUUAGAACUAAGAAGAACUGAUGCUAGUUAAGACACUGAUAAUCUAAAAGAAAGUAACAACACUGAUUGGUUUAUGCAUACUCGUUGCUUAACUAAACCUUUCUCAGUUUGCGUCCUACUACAUCCUAUUAUGUGCCUUUGAUUUCCAGUAGAGCUUGAUUACACUAAUGCCUUGAGCCUCUGUGCAACAAACUUGUUCUGGAUGUUGAAUGUUGGCAGUCACCUGGCCAACACAUGGCUGGACAGAAUUCUACUGGAAGCCCCAACAGCAAUGAAUGCAACGUCGAUUUGCUGGUCUCAUUCGACAAGAGCAUGGAAGAGAGCAUGUGGCGCGUGAAUGCCCUGCUCCUUGCCAGCGGCGUCCUAGCAGGACUUAUUGUCGGGAUAGGCGUCUAUGGCCAGCGCUACCGGCACCACCGCUUCACCCGCUUCAUCUUUUUUGGAGCCACCACACUGCUCUUGCCCAUCAUCUCUACCGUCGUCUCCAUGGGUGACGGGUUCCAUUACUACAUCAUGGACGAUCCGAGCUUCAAUAAUCGGUUGAUUGCAAAGUGCCAGCCAAUAGAACACUCUCUCCUGGUUGUACUAUGGGCAUCCCUUGUUCAGAUCAUCAUGAUCAAUUGCAGCACAGUAGUUGCUGUUGAUGAAAGAGAAGGUGGAAACGUAGGCCCUCCUUUUGAGCUGCUUGUUCAGGGGGUCUGGACGUUUUACCUUGGUAUCAGCUACGCCUUUGGUUCCGGCACAUAUCUCCUCGAGGACCCGGUUUAUGUUUCACUUGAAGUCACACCUUUUGCUCUCACAUGUGCCAAAAUGGUAUUGAAAUAUUAUGCAUAUGAAAAGGCGCGACAAUCCUUUGCACUCGGACGCAAUCCUCAUCUAAUUUUUGGAUACAUGCAGCAACCACUGCUACAAGAAACAAGACAACAAGGUGAGACAGCAACGGUAGCUGAGGAUGCACCUCCUCCUCCACUAUUGGUUAUGGGAGAGGAGAGGAGACGCGUGGAGAAGCAGCCUCAUGGUUAUGUGUUCAAGGAUGACUCAGGGUCAAUGCUGCACAAAAGCAAUGGAUUGGUGACUAUUGACAGAGUUUGGAAGUGGGACAGCAUGCCUCCAAUGUCGUCAACUGUAAACCGACUAAAAGACUUAUGCUUGUCAUUUGCACCGUUCAAGCUGUUACGGUGCCGAUUAGCAAGGUACAAGCUCACUAGUUCCAGAUAAAAUGAUACUGUCAGCUUUUUCUGGAGCUUGUUGCUGAAGGAUGGCGGACAUGACAGAGUAUUUCGAGUGAUUUCGGAUGAGCUCUCUUUUGUCCAUGAUUAUUAUUACUCAUCUCUCCCGAUAUCUUAUUCCAAGAGUUGGUUGCUGAGAACCAAUGGUGGUCACCCUUGGAUGAUGAGUGAUUGACAACGUUGUGUUGGUUUGAUGUUUCUCUUGACUUGUGAUGUGCAGGUGUAGGAUGCGACGUGACGGUCAACGGCGUGCGGUGAAGGUCAAGCGAAAGGUUCAUGCCGAUGGACCAAGGGCAGUGAAGGAUGAACGCGAGUAGGCUUGGACCGAUGGACCCGAGGAGUCCGGGCGAAGUCACGGCGAUCCACAUGGUGCACGGAAUGGCGAGAGGGCAUGACAGGUUGGAGACGGCGCCGGUCGAGUCAAGCGGGAGGCUUCGCGGAGGCCGGACACGCGUCAAUGGACGGUUUGGGUGGUUUGGGCCUCAAAACCACCGCGCAGUCAGGUUUCCCGGUUUGGGCCUCAAAACCGGGGGCGAGCCCGGUGCGGCCGGAGCUUCAAGAAGGAGGGCACGUGGCGUCAUCGCGAAGCUUGCGUCGAGGCGAAGCAAAGUCGUGAAGACGGCGUGUCCAUCCGAUGUGAGGAUAAAAACUUGGACCAAAAUUCCCCUGCGUGGGUAGUUAUCUUAGUUGUAGCUGUAGGGGUAUUAUAGUCUUUCGUCCUGGACUAUAAAUAGGGAUGGGGGCUGGUUAUUUCAGCACCUCUUUGCUUAGGAACUCAUUAUCUAUUUGCUUAGAGGCUAGUCAUGUGCUUAAAGUGAGAGGAGAGAGGGGGAUUAGGGAGUGAUUACUCUUUUCUCUUGAUUUCUUCAUCUUUAGUGGGUGGAUGAAGGGAGGAGGCUAGUCCUCAUCUUGUAUAUAAGAUGUUCUCGUGAUUUAGCUUUGUUUGUUGUCUCAAAUCGUGCUAAAUCUUUGAUUCCCGAGCGUUUUUCUUUUUCCCUAUUUUCGGAGCUAUUUUGGGGGAAUUUUCGUUCAUCAUGUUUGAGCCCGAAUCUCGUGAGAUUGGUUGAAGGGAAAUGUUGCUAGAACCUUGGAGAGCAUCUUUGAUAUGAUCCUCCUCCAAAUCCCUCACGAAUUCGGCUUGAUUUUGAGUUUUUCCCAAAUCGUGUUCUUGAGUUAGGGUUUCGAUUCUCUCCAAAAUUAGUGAUGAAUACUUGAGCUUUUUAGGAUUUGUUUCAUGGAUCUAUUUGCCCUGGGGGUAUUGCUUACAUGUCUCAAGUUUCAUCUCGAUCCACUGAGUAUGAAAGGAGAUCUUGUGAUUUAAAGUUGGGGUAUGUUCUGCGAGUUCUUCCUGUUCUUCCUGCGUUCUUUCUGUUCUUCGUUGCUUCUCUAGUGCAGGGAAUCGAGCGCAGAAGCCUCGGACGGGUGCGUGCUCAGCGAGUGCUUCGUGGGCCGUCUGCAGCACAGCAGCGCAACUGGUGCAUUGCGUGCCUGGCCAGGGACUCGGCCCAGGCAGGCCAGCACCAGGCCGCGAGCGCUACGCAGGCCAGCGACACGGUCCAGUUCAGUGGCCAGCAGUCCAGCAGGCCGCUCGCUUCACAGGCCAAGUAGGCCUUUCACGUGUAGGCCUAGCAAGGUCAAGUGGGCAAACAGGAAGUAACAGGGGCACGCAGCCCAAUAGCACAUGUCGAGGUGAGAAGCAGGCUGCGCGGAUCAGUGAGUUUUUCUCUUGUCUCUUUGCUAAUUCCAUGCAAUAAUUAGUUCUCUGUUAAUUCCUUCGGUUAGCUAAUUAAUUUGUGACAUCUUAUUUAGCUACUGUCCUUAAUAUAUCUUUUGCUAAUCAAGUCUAGCUGUUAAUUAUUCUGUUCUCUCAUUUGCUAAUCACGCCUAGCACUUUAGAUUAAUCUUUUUCUCUUGCUUGCUUAGUUGAGUGAUUAGCUAGUAGUGAUCUUGGUUGAUCGUGUUUUGAGCAAACUUGUUAGAAUCAUUUUAUGUCUUGUUUCCGCUGUGAUUUGUGUGUCUCUUAUCGUUCCUAGGGUGAGCUAGUCACGAGUUGACUUGCGUCAUCUUGACGAUUUAACGCACCAUGUGCUUUGGGGUUGCGUUUGGGACAUAGGCCCUUUUUUCGUUGAGAAUUUUUAUAGGCUCCCAUUCACCCCCCCUUUGGUCGCCCUUUCGGUCCUUCAAUUGGUAUCAGAGCCGGUUAAGGUUUCUCCAUACCCUAAUCGGUUUCGAAACCUAUUAUGGCGACCUCUGAGCGUUCUUCCUCGACCGCUGCACCCUACUUUGAUGGCUCUGAUUAUCGGUAUUGGAAAACUCGCAUGAGAGCCCAUCUAAAUAGUAGGGGAGCAGGGGUUUGGGAAAUCACUCAGGAUGUGACUUAUGUGAUUCCUGCUACUCGUGUGACUCAGGAUGAAAGGGAUAAGUAUCACGCCAACAGCAAGGCGGUUGAUAUUCUGUUUGCGAGUCUGAGUCGUGCUGAGUUCGAUCGAGUCGAAGAUCUCUCUCUUGCUCAUGAGAUUUGGUCUCGACUUCAGAGUUUCCACGAGGGAAACGGUCAGGUGAAGGCUAAACUCUUUGAGACUUAUAGGCGUGAGUAUGAGAACUUUGUUCAUUUGCCUGGUGAGUCUGCCGAUGCUUUGUUUCAGCAUUUCUUGGCUAUUGUGAACAAGAUGAAAGCAAAUAUCACCGUCUUACCCUACACUGAUCAUGAUAGAGCUUUAAAGCUCAUGCAUGCCUUGGAUCACGAAGUGUGGGGUACGAAGGUUGAUGCUAUCAUCGAGUCACCGAAUUAUGAAACACUUUCCACUGAUGAACUCUUUGCCAAGUUGAAAUCCACGGAGGUUGACAAGAGGCUCCGAGCAAAACAAGGAGGCCCUACUGAUCCAAAUAGUAUGGCUCUCAUGUCAGGCUCUGGACAGCCUAAGUCUUUGAGUAACUCUUCUUCUAUGUCGUUUGCCUUGUCUUCUUUGGUUUCUGUUUCAGAGGAGCAGCUGGAGGUUCUUGAUGAUGAUGAGCUCGCCUUGAUCACGAGGCGAUUCAUGCGCUUCAAUGACAACCGCAAGAACAGGCGAAGGAACAACAACAACUGCUUCGAUUGUGGCAAGCCAGGCCACUUCGCCGCCGACUGCCCCGACAAGAACAAAACCAAGAGCAAGUACGACUACAACAAGCACAAGAACAAGGACGGCACCAAGAAGAAGAAGAAGUACACCGACCGCGAGAAGAAGGAGUAUCGCAAGAAGGCCAAAGCACAUGCCUUCAUCGCCUCCCUCAGCGACGUCGACUCCGACACCGACGACCACACCGACUCAAGCUCAAGCGAGGAGGACGACGACCGCAAGGCAAAGAAGAAGGACGGCAAGAACUUCAAUGGCCUCUGCUUCUACUCCGACAAGAACCGCGACGGGUACUGUGUCAUGGCUCUCAACUCCAAGAAGGAUGACAAGGAAAGUGACUCCGACACAGAAACUAAGGUAAAAUCUACUCCUGAACAACUUGCUCUAGAAGUAGAAGAACUUAAUGAUUGCCUAAUCAAUCAAGAUAAACUGCUUAAGAAGGCUGCUAAAGAGCGAGUUGAGCUUAAGGCUAAGAUAGAAAGUGCCUUAAUUGAGAUAGAUAUGCUUAAAUCUGCUUCUGCUGUUUCUGAUGUUGUUGAGUGUGAUGAAUGUGGUGUUCAUAUGGCUAGUCUUGCAUCUUUACAAUCUAAGCAUGCUUUGUUGGUAGAUGAAUUGGAUCUGACUAGGGCUGCUUUAGAUGAGGUCAAGACUAGGCCUAUUUUGCUUGGUGCAUGUAAGUCUUGCCCUGCUUUGCAAGUUCAGUUGGAUGAUGCAUGUGCUAAGCUUAGUGCUUUAGAGUAGUCUGAGUUUAUUGCUAGAUCUAAACUUCCUGAAUGCACUGUUUGUCCUGAACUCAAGCUUAAUUUGCAACAUGUUGAGGAUGAAAACUCCUACUUGCGCACUGUUCUUAGUUGGGUGUCAAGUAGGGAACCUCAGCUAGGCAUGAUGAUUCAGGAGUUCAAAAGGGCUGAUGGUUUUGGGCUUGGGUCGGUUAUGAAGGAAUGUCUUUUUAAUGGGUUGCACAAGUUCUUUGAUGGGUUGUGUGAGAAGGUGGGUCAAAACAGUGGUGAGAGAAAGAAACCAAGCUACAAUCAGUGUGAGCCACCAAUUGACUACACCCCUCGAGAGUCACCCACUAAAAAUAGAGAGCAACCCAAUCCAGCUUGCGAGCAAAACUUGUCUGAGUGUGUGAGAGAUGGAAUUUUCAUUGAGACACCACCUAAAGCACCCAAGAAAGCCAUUUGGGUGGAAAAGCCAAACCACCUUAAGAACAAACUUGACACACUUCCAGAAAUUGCUCCUAAGAAACCUCCACCAAAACCCCAAGACAAGUCACAACCUAGAGUGAAUCCUCAGCCAAAACAGCCGGCUAGAUUCCACUGUGAGUAUUGCAAGAGAUGGGGUCACCUUGAGGAGUUUUGCUUUCGCAAGAAGAAGGCUUUGAGGCGUGAGCGUGAGUGGGGCAACAGGGACAUGUACCACCCUUCUCAUGGUGUACAUGCGCCUAGAGCAGCUCCUCCACCUCGUCGUGUGGAUAGUGUGCGUUUUGCUCCUUCGCGUGUUUUUGCUAGGCAUGCUCCUCGCCAUGAUCAAUAUGGCCCAGGACAAUAUGGCCGUUACUUUGAGUCUCGGAGCUACAACGGAUCACGUUUUCCCCCUAGCGUUGGUCGUAGUCCUCCUGUGAGACGAGAGAUGGUUGAUUUUGAUAACCCCACUCUUGAGCAAAUGGUUCGACACUGGUAUUCUACUUGUUUUUCUAACCCCAGUGUUGAGUCAUUUGCUCAUCCUUGGUCUCCCUUUGUUUGAGCAGGUCAGAGGACUGGAGAACACGUGGCUUAUUGAUUCCGGUUGCUCUCGACACAUGACCCGUGAUCACAGAUGGUUCUCCAGCCUCACCCCGGUGAUGACCAAGGAGUACAUCACUUUCGGGGAUAAUAGCAAAGGUAAGGUGUUGUCUGAAGGUGUUAUCAAGGUGAGUGAGAAUUUCAUGCUCAAGCGAGUUGCUCUAGUUGAUUCUCUUGGUUUCAAUUUGCUCUCUGUGUCGCAACUGCUUGAUGAUGGUUUUGAGGUCCGUUUUAAGCAAGGGACCUCAAGGAUUUUAGACUCUCGAGGUGAUCUUGUGUGUAUGAUCAUCCCCGAGGGUCAAGUGUUUCGAGUUGAUUUUUCCAAGUCAUUUGGUCUUUCUCGAUGUUUAGUGGCUGGCUCAUCUUCUGAACUUUGGAAAUGGCAUAGGAGAUUGGGUCAUUUGAGUUUUGAUUUGCUUUCCCGCUUGAGUACUUUGGAUCUUAUUCGUGGUUUGCCCAAAUUAAAGUUUGAGAAAGAUCUUGUUUGUGCUCCCUGUCGACAUGGGAAGAUGGUUGCUGCUUCCCAUCCACCUGUGAAUCAGGUGAUGACUGAACAUCCAGGCGAGCUGUUGCAUAUGGACACUAUUGGUCCAGCUCGUGUUUGUUCAGUCGGUGGGAAGUGGUAUGUGCUUGUGAUCGUUGAUGAUUUUUUGAGGUAUUAAUGAGUUUUCUUCAUGGAAUCUAAGGAUGAGGCAUUUCUUUUUGUUCGAGAUUUGAUCUUGAGGUUGAGAAAUGAGCGACCAAAAGAUGCCAUGAGAGCUAUCUGCAGUGACAAUGGCACAGAAUUCAAAAACGCUCGUUUUAAAGCCUUUUGCAAUGAUCUUGGUCUUGAACACCAGUUUUCAUCGCCUUAUGUCCCUCCUCAGAAUGGUGUUGUUGAACGGAAGAAUCGGACCCUUUGUGAAAUGGCUAGGACGAUGCUUGAUGAGCAUAGGACUCCUAGAAAAUAUUGGGCCGAAGCCGUCAACACUGCUUGCUAUGUGUCCAAUCGAAUCUUUUUGCGAGCUUUCCUGAAGAAAACUUCUUAUGAGCUGAUGCAUCGACGUUCCCCCAAAGUGAGUCAUCUGAGGGUGUUUGGCUGCAACUGUUUCAUUCUCAAGCAAAGAAAUUUGGAUAAAUUUGAGUCUCGUUCUACGGAUGGGAUUUUUCUUGGUUAUGCUUCUCAUAGUCGUGAUUAUCGUGUGCUUAACCUUGAAACUAACCGGAUUGUGAAAACUUGUGAGAUUACAUUCGAUGAAACUAUGCCUUGCACAACUCCUGUCUUUGAAGUUGCAGGUGAACAUGAAAUGGGGCAAAGCAUAUUUGAGGAAGAGAAAGAGCGUGUAGAUGGUGGUGAGGAAGAGGAUGAUGAGAUUGACCGAGCUCCAGCUGUUGCACCUGUACCUUCUACUUCGACUACGAGAGUUGAUGGCCCUACCUCUACUUCCACUACUUCAAGCCAUCAACCAGUACCACUACAGGAUGAAGAAGAAGAAGAUCAGAGUGAUCCAGCUGCUGUUGAGGGGGAGACGACUUCAGAGCGAGAGGCUCCACGGCACAUUCAACGUCGUCAUCAUCCACAACAGAUGAUCGGUAACUUACAUGAACGCACCACUAGGCACAGCUCUAGGCAUAUUUCACACUUUGCACAUUCUGCAUUUGUUGCCUCUUUCGAACCCCGAGAUAUUGGACAUGCUUUAUCUGAUUCAAAUUGGGUUAAUGCCAUGCAUGAGGAGUUGGAGAACUUUGAGCGAAACAGGGUUUGGGUUUUAGUUGAACCACCUCCAAAUUGCCAUCCUAUAGGAACAAAAUGGGUUUUCAAAAAUAAACAAGGUGAGGAUGGGUUGAUUGUGAGAAACAAAGCGAGGUUGGUUGCCCAAGGUUUUAGCCAAAAAGAGGGGAUAGAUUAUGAGGAAACCUUUGCCCCUGUUCCCCGUUUGGAAGCAAUUAGAAUCCUUCUAGCCUUCUCUGUGGCUAAAGGUUUUAAGCUCUUCCAAAUGGAUGUGAAAAGUGUCUUCCUAAAUGGUUUCAUAGAGGAGGAAGUGUAUGUGAAACAACCCCCUGGUUUUGAGAGUCCUAAAUAUCCUGAUCGUGUUUUCAAACUCCAGAAAGCUCUCUAUGGCCUAAAACAAGCACCCCGAGCGUGGUAUGCUAGAUUGAAAUCCUUUUUGCUUGGGAAUGGGUUUGAAAUGGGAUCAGUUGAUAAAACACUCUUUCUCCUCAGGCAAGGCAAUGACUUAUUGAUUAUUCAGAUAUACGUGGAUGAUAUAAUCUUUGGUGGUUCUUCUCAUGCUUUGGUUGCCAAGUUUGCAGAUGACAUGAGCAGGGAGUUCGAGAUGUCGAUGAUGGGUGAGUUGACCUUCUUCCUCGGGCUACAGAUCAAGCAAAGCAAGGAAGGAAUCUUCGUGCACCAAGGGAAGUACACGAAGGACGUGUUGAGGAAGUUUGACAUGGCUGAUGCUAAGCCACUCUCCACACCCAUGGGUACGACGACGGCACUAGAUGCGGAUGAAGAUGGUGAACCGGUGGACCAGAAGGAGUACAGAAGCAUGAUCAGCUCCCUCUUAUACCUGACGGCGACGAGGCCGGACAUACACUUCUCCGUGUGUCUGUGCGCUCGUUUUCAGGCUUCACCAAGGACAUCUCACCGCCAGGCAGUGAAGAGGAUCAUGAGGUAUCUCCGCUUUACCCCUGAGUUCGGUUUGUGGUAUUCUGCCUCCUCGACACUCACGCUCAGGGGAUACUUCGAUGCGGACUUUGCUGGGUGUCGCUUGGAUCGCAAGUCUACCUCGGGUACUUGCCAGUUUCUCGGUUCGUCUUUGGUCUCUUGGUCUUCUCGCAAACAAUCUAGUGUUGCUCAGUCUACCACCGAAGCUGAGUAUGUUGCUGCUGCUAGCUGUUGUUCUCAGCUGCUUUGGAUGAUUUCCACUUUGAGAGACUUUGGUUUGGAUUUUACUCGUGUACCUCUUCUUUGUGACAGCACGAGUGCCAUUAGUGUAGCCAAGAACCCAUUCUCCACUCAAAAACUAAACACAUUGAUGUGAGAUAUCAUUUUCUGAGAGAUCAUGUUGAGAAAGGGGAUAUUGACCUUGGCUAUGUUGCUACCCAAAACCAACUCGCGGACAUUUUCACCAAACCCCUGGAUCAAGCCACUUUUGCUCAUUUGCGGGGGGAGUUGGGUGUUUGCUUUCCUUUCUGAGUUGGGUUUUUGGAGCUUCUCUUGUAUUAUACUUGUAUCAUUUUUGUACAAAACAUGGUAGGAUAGCUACUUUUUCAUGAUAGCUUUGAGUUCUUCAUGUAUAUCUUAUCAUGCUAUUUUUGUGAUAUAUUGUGGUGGAUGAUACAUAUGAACAUCAUGUCAUGCUUUACCUUAGUUCACAUUUGGGUAUGGCAUGUUGUUCAUCUGUAUCAUUUUAGCUUAGUUUCCAUGCAUUUUGUAUCAUAUUGCAUUUUGUAUCAUGUUGCACUAGAUGAGCUUCUCCUAUAUAUCUUGCGUACUCUCUUAUGCUACUUGUGAGGUAGUGCUGUGGUUGGUGAUUUUGAUGCAAUGUGCAAUUAUGCUCUUGAUGAUAUUGUAUACUUGUUGAGAUAACUGUUUUUGAAAUUCAAUGCUAAAUUCUACUCUAUUAACUUGCUUAUCACCCAUGAGUAGAUGCUUGGUUAUGGUUUGCCCUUGGUUGAAUACUGGUUCCAUAUCUAGCUUAUGUUUGGAAUCCAUGUUCUUUUCAAUUGGGUCAAAGAUCUAGGUAUCAUUGCAAAUGUUUAGCCCAUGAUGCACCCCUUGGGGAAGCAUGGCUUCUUUGUGCCGUAAAGGCAUUUCAUGUAUUUUGUUUUGUAUGAAUACUGAAAAAAUAUGCUGAAAACUUCAUAAAUUCACCAAGUUUUUGUGCUUAAUGUGAUAUUAUUGCUUGCUUAGUUGUUACAAGAUGUCUACCAAAAGAAGUAGACACUUGGUUUCAACAAGCUUUAAACAUGACUUGUGAUGCAUAUGUGGGUGUUUGCAAUGAUCUCUUGUUGAGAAUGGAUUUUCCUAGUAUGAGCUCUUGAUGGACUAGUCUAUUCUUGCUUGGGUGAUUCUUAACUAGGUGAAUGCUCAUGUGGUGAUCUUUUUAUACAUUGCUAAAAUUUGAUACUUGCUUCAUCUCCACUGUUGUAACUUGAUAUCAUCUUGUUGGCGAUGCUAUUGUUUCUUAUGACCUAUCAAGCUUUAUCUCCCUAGUAGCCUUUGAGAGUGCAUUGUGAUAUAUUUGAGAAGCUUGUUAGGUUCUGCAUUUCCAUGGCAUGCACUUUGUCCUUUCAUGCUUUUCUUGAUGAUUGCAUUGUCAACAAGGGGGAGAGAAAUCUACACAAACUCUUUCAUCUAUCAAGGGGGAGACUUUGCAUGUAUGCAUGAUUUCAGGGGGAGUGCGUAUGUUCAGGGGGAGUAGUUAUGAGUUGUUAUACUCUUGUUAUGCUCGUUAUGCUCUUAUGCCCUUGUACCGGUCGCGUUGAGCUGUUUACCUCUUCUUGAGGAGCCGGUUUUGAUUUGAGUUUGGAUUUUCAUGUGAUUGGUGUUGAGCCCGUUUUCUACCUCUUCUUGAGGGAUCACAUGAUUUUGUCUCAGUUGUGUAGAGCCGUUGCCCUUAUCUUAGGGGACUGAGAUUUUUCUAUUUUGAGUUUCUUGUUUUUCUGUUUCAAUACUAUGAAUUUGUGGGGUGUUGUCAAUGCACUCAUCAAGGGGGAGAUUGAGGACCAAUGGUGGUCACCCUUGGAUGAUGAGUGAUUGACAACGUUGUGUUGGUUUGAUGUUUCUCUUGGCUUGUGAUGUGCAGGUGUAGGAUGCGACGUGACGGUCAACGGCGUGCGGUGAAGGUCAAGCGAAAGGUUCAUGCCGAUGGACCAAGGGCGGUGAAGGAUGAACGCGAGUAGGCUUGGACCGAUGGACCCGAGGAGUCCGGGCGAAGUCACGGCGAUCCACAUGGUGCACGGAAUGGCGAGAGGGCAUGACUGGUUGGAGACGGCGCCGGUCGAGUCAAGCGGGAGGCUUGGCGGAGGCCGGACACGCGUCAAUGGACGGUUUGGGUGGUUUGGGCCUCAAAACCACCACGCACGUAGGUUUCCCGGUUUGGGCCUCAAAACUGGGGGCGAGCCCGGUGCGGCCAGAGCUUCGAGAAGGAGGGCACGUGGCGUCAUCGCGAAGCUUGCGUCGAGGCGAAGCAAAGUCGUGAAGACAGCGUGUCCAUCCGAUGUGCGGAUAAAAACUUGGACCAAAAUGCCCCUGCGUGGGUAGUUAUCUUAGUUGUAGCUGUAGGGGUAUUAUAGUCUUUCGUCCUGGACUAUAAAUAGGGAUGGGGGGCUGGUUAUUUCAGCACCUCUUUGCUUAGGAACUCAUUAUCUAUUUGCUUAGAGGCUAGUCAUGUGCUUAAAGUGAGAGGAGAGAGGGGGAUUAGGGAGUGAUUACUCUUUUCUCUUGAUUUCUUCAUCUUUAGUGGGUGGAUGAAGGGAGGAGGCUAGUCCUCAUCUUGUAUAUAAGAUGUUCUCGUGAUUUAGCUUUGUUUGUUGUCUCAAAUCGUGCUAAAUCUUUGAUUCCCGAGCGUUUUUCUUUUUCCCUAUUUUCGGAGCUAUUUUGGGGGAAUUUUCGUUCAUCAUGUUUGAGCCCGAAUCUCGUGAGAUUGGUUGAAGGGAAAUGUUGCUAGAACCUUGGAGAGCAUCUUUGAUAUGAUCCUCCUCCAAAUCCCUCACGAAUUCGGCUUGAUUUUGAGUUUUUCCCAAAUCGUGUUCUUGAGUUAGGGUUUCGAUUCUCUCCAAAAUUAGUGAUGAAUACUUGAGCUUUUUAGGAUUUGUUUCAUGGAUCUAUUUGCCCUGGGGGUAUUGCUUACAUGUCUCAAGUUUCAUCUCGAUCCACUGAGUAUGAAAGGAGAUCUUGUGAUUUAAAGUUGGGGUAUGUUCUGCGAGUUCUUCCUGUUCUUCCUGCGUUCUUUCUGUUCUUCGUUGCUUCUCUAGUGCAGGGAAUCGAGCGCAGAAGCCUCGGACGGGUGCGUGCUCAGCGAGUGCUUCGUGGGCCGUCUGCAGCACAGCAGCGCAACUGGUGCAUUGCGUGCCUGGCCAGGGACUCGGCCCAGGCAGGCCAGCACCAGGCCGCGAGCGCUACGCAGGCCAGCGACACGGUCCAGUUCAGUGGCCAGCAGUCCAGCAGGCCGCUCGCUUCACAGGCCAAGCAGGCCUUUCACGUGUAGGCCUAGCAAGGUCAAGUGGGCAAACAGGAAGUAACAGGGGCACGCAGCCCAAUAGCACAUGUCGAGGUGAGAAGCAGGCUGCGCGGAUCAGUGAGUUUUUCUCUUGUCUCUUUGCUAAUUCCAUGCAAUAAUUAGUUCUCUGUUAAUUCCUUCGGUUAGCUAAUUAAUUUGUGACAUCUUAUUUAGCUACUGUCCUUAAUAUAUCUUUUGCUAAUCAAGUCUAGCUGUUAAUUAUUCUGUUCUCUCAUUUGCUAAUCACGCCUAGCACUUUAGAUUAAUCUUUUUCUCUUGCUUGCUUAGUUGAGUGAUUAGCUAGUAGUGAUCUUGGUUGAUCGUGUUUUGAGCAAACUUGUUAGAAUCAUUUUAUGUCUUGUUUCCGCUGUGAUUUGUGUGUCUCUUAUCGUUCCUAGGGUGAGCUAGUCACGAGUUGACUUGCGUCAUCUUGACGAUUUAACGCACCAUAUGCUUUGGGGUUGCGUUUGGGACAUAGGUCCUUUUUUCGUUGAGAAUUUUUAUAGGGUCCCAUUCACCUCCCUUUGGUCGCCCUUUCGGUCCUUCAGUUGCCCAUCGUGGGUAUCUUUAUUUCAGUCUUGAGCAUAGCUUAUUGCAUCUUUGCUGCAGUGAUUCUCACUUUUAUCGUAUUGACUGGAGGAAUAACUAACUCUCAGAUUGCGUGUGCGAUCAGUUGCUCGAAACACCAUCAGGAAAGCAACAUAUGGGGCAGAUCUUAUGGAAGAGGGUUCUUCGAUGUGGUGCCAAUAUUUUUGCUUUUGGUGCUAGCUGUGAUAUCUGAGGUGAGGGACAUUGCUUCCCACAUGUUCUCCAGCUGGACCAAAGUAGCCCUCAUGUGCCGCCUUCUAAAACAGACCACAUCUCAGCAUUCACUUCCCAAGAAUAAAUGGAUUGGCCUUCUGUUGCGUAGAAGAUGCAAGCUGAUGAGGUAUUGGGAUGAGAAGAUGGGCCAGUGCUUGGUGCUGGGGCUUCAGCCAGGAACAACCCCACUUGUUUUUCUGUGGCGUCUCCUCCGUUUACCAGACCAAAAAACAAAGGUGAAGGUGCCAGAAGCAGUGAAAGUUUCCAUCAUCCAUGAGCUGAGAAGAAGCAAAAAUGGAUGCCUGAGCGACGGCACAUCAUCUCUGCGCCGGAGCCAAGCUGGUGAUAACCUUCUCUGGGCCUGCAACAACAAGGAUACAUCUGAUACCAUACUUACAUGGCACAUCGCCACAAGCAUCCUUGAGGUCAGGUACCCCAACCGACAUGAUCAAGAACAUGUUUCUCCACUGACUUGCAACUCGGACGAUAAGAUUGUUGCCACGCAUCUGUCACGAUACUGUGCGUACCUAGUGACCUGGUAUCCAGAGCUGCUUCCUGACAACGAUGCAUGGAGCAAAAGCUUGUACGAGGACAUCACGAGGGAAGUCGAGCCUGCCCUCACCAGCCACAUUGCAUCUGCAGCGAUGUCAACGCCGCUGGCUGAGUAUGAGCAGCUAGUUGAUCAUUUGUUAUGUGCAAACACGAAGCAUGAGGUGCUCAAGAAUGGCGCGAGGCUUGGAAAGGAGCUGGCAGAGUUGAUUGAAGACGAGGAGACAGCAUGGAAGUUGCUGGCCAGCUUCUGGUCGGAGAUGAUCCUGUACGUCGCGCCGUCGGACAAUCUGAAAGGGCAUUCGGAGGCCAUCGCCCGGGGCGGCGAGCUGAUAACGCUCCUGUGGGCAUUGCUCACCCAUGCCGGGAUCGUCUGUAGGCCUGGUGAAGACCGCUGCCCUGAUGCAGCUGGUGCUACUACUACUGUUUAAUGGAGUCGUGUGAUAUUUUGUUAUUCCUGUAUUCUUAAUCGUGGGGUGUGUGUGUGUGUGUUGUGUGUUUCUUCUUUAGACGUUUGCAUCUUGCUGGCUGAUGUUGUUGUGGUUGUAUCUUGCUAAGAAUUUGAUUGUUAAACUUCGAUUUCCUGUCCUAGAGUCAAAAGAGACUAAAGAUUAAAAACUGUGGCGUGGCUUGUUGCUACUUACUUGUGUUUUAGAUGAUUACUGCUAGACUAUAUUUAUAUGCCAGCUUAAUCCUGCAUAUGCAGCUGCACGAUCGAGUCGGCGGCAGCGUGACUGAAAGCUCAAAAGCUGUGCCUUGAGACAACGGCAAAGACAAGAACGGCUCCUGGCUGAUGGUGACAAAGCUGGCAAACGAUGGUUGGCAUCAUGUACACAUGUACUACGCAUUAUCAGUGUCUGCCUGAUCCGAGCAAAGAACAUAUUCCAGGUCUCACUAGGAUAGAAAUGAUUGCUAGCACACGGAUAUUAGCGCGCUAGCUAGCAGAAUUGGCACCACCAGCACAACGCAAGCACCUUUGUGCCGUCCAGAUAAAAUCGCGGACAACUUCUUCCUUAGACAACCUUUCAUUCGAAGCUUGUUCAACAGGAGCUCGAAAAAAAGCUCCAAAAACACCAAAUACAAGGUGGAAGGUUUUUGUUCUUAAAUUCUUUGAAGGAGGUGGCUCUAUAAGAUUUUGCUCUUGAAUUCUUGAAUUCUUUUGAGUUUGUGUCAUUCCAACUUUUUUUCAAAUUCUAUCUACCAUGUCUAGCUUCAUUAGGAUUGUCAUCUAGAUCUAGAAGAGAGAGGAGGGAAGAGAGAAAAUAAUUAGAGCUUGAUUAUUUUUUAAAAUAAAAUUUUAUGGUCAUAACCAUUACAAGGCCAUUUUGUCAUCUGAUAUCAUUUUUUCUUCCUACUUAUUAAUUAUUACAUUCAUAGUUUAAUUGAAUUUGAUUUAAUGUAAUAUAGAAUUAGGUUCGAUUAUAUUCCUUCUUACUUAUUAAUUAAUAUAUUCAUAGUUUAAUUGAGUAUGAUUUAAUGUAAUAUAGAAUUAAGUUUGAUUAUAUUUCUUCUUACUUAUUAAUUAUUACAUCCAUAGUUUUAUUGAGUUUGAUUCAAUAUAAUAUAGAAUUGAGUUUGAUUAUGUUUCUUCCUACUGAGUAGUUAUUAGAUAUAUCUACUAUUAUUAAUUGGAGGUUCCUCUUAAGUCCUCAGGUGAAGCCACUGUCGGUAUUUAAACCCGGCAACCUACUAAGGGAAUAAUCGAGGUAGAGUUUUGGUUGGUGGGUGUCGCCGAAAUCAGGAACUCGAUGGUGUACGUAGGCAUGCGAUUUAGAUAGGUUCGAGCCGCUAGAUUGCGUAAUACCCUACGUCCUGUGUGUUGUUUGCUUGUAUUGGAUUGAACUUAUUUGGAGGGGGUCCCUGCCCGUCCUUAUAUAUCGGAGGAGGAGCAGGUUACAGGUCGGUUAUCUUACAGAAGUACUAGUCGGAUUCGACUAGAGAGUCCUACUCUAACUGCUACGAGUAGUUUUCUGUCCUCGACUAGUUUCUGUCCUCCAUGUAGACUACGCCGUCCUGCACCGUAGUCACCAUGUCUGACACAUCUCGGUUUACAACCCCAUAUGCGGAUCUGUCCAAACCUCCUGGUGGGUCCAUAUAUGUAUGUACGACAGCCACCUAGGAUCAUAGGUGGACAGAGAAAUUAUAGAAAUUCUCACAAAAAAUAAAAUAUUUGGCCCUAGGUGGACAAUCUAAAAAGAGAGAGAAAUUAUAGAAAUUCUCACAAAAAUAAAAUAUUUGGCCAUCAAUCGGUAGACUAAAAUCAUCAUAGCUAUUGGAUCUAUUAUGUUUUUUAAAAAAUUACCCCCUAUGCUAUUAUGAAAAUAGCUUAAAGUAACACCUAAAUCUAUAUGUAAAUUACCCACCUCUGCCAUUAUAUAAAAUAAACUAAAGUAACCCCUAAUCAAGAGAAAAAGAAAAAGGAAAAUUUAGAAUCAAAGAGAAAAAGAAAAAGGAAAAGGAAAACCCACAUGCUAUGCUAGAACGAAGAUCAUGGCACACAGGUACAGCCAAAGGGUCCGAUCGAUCCGAAAAGGAGAAGGGAACUGCAUGGGGGCGAUGACAGUUUUGUGUCUCUCUCAGCUCUGUGAAAGAUUAAUUGCAGCGAUCUGGGCACUAAGGAAAGAAAAAGGAAACAAUUUAUCGACAAGCUAAUUUAUCGAUCAUCCUGUGAAGAAUUCUAUUUUUCUCGAUUCAAAAGCUCAGAUGGAUUAUCUCGUUGAGUUCCAGCUGUUUAUGUAUUCUCUCCAUGACUCCAAAGAGCAAAAAAAACCCACCACCAUAUUAACAACCAAAUAAAAACGCUUUUCGUAGAACAUAUGCUUCUGUCGGUGAAACCGAAGAUGAAAGGACGAAGGAAGACGAGAAAAAAGGAAACACUUUGUUUUGCCCUUUUGAGUCUCCCCACCAUCAUGCAUAUGUUCCAAUUUUAUUAUAGCUUUGGUACUGAAAAUAAUGUAAAACCUUUGCUGCGUGUGGUUGAAGAGGUCGGAAACAAUUUUCUUUUUCUAGAAAAAUAUAUUUGUUCCCAUUGAGCCUGUAGGCUCAGGGCGUAGCAGCUCCCUUCGUAACAAAGGUUCACUUUUGUGGUCAAUAACCUCUCCCAGGGAGGCAGGGACGUCGGGACCCGGGGAAAGAUGAGAUAUGGUUUGCAAGAGAAUAUUAAGGAAAAAAUUUUCUUUGAGUACAUUACCUAUAUCCCGAUUGUCACUCCAAACACAGCUCGCUCCUAAUCACUAAUUACUAAACUGAUACAAGUCAACUUGUGAUAAGUUCACCCUAGAAACGAUUAGAAAAGCUCAAAACGACGCGGAAGCUUAAAAGAGCCGCUCGCAAAUUAACAUCAGGCUCAAAAGAAAAAGAUCGGAAGCAAAGCUUCCGAUCUGAUACUAAGGGGGUGUUUGGUUCCACGGACUAAAGUUUAGUCCCUAUCACAUCGAAUAUUUAGAUACUAAUUAGGAGGACUAAACAUGAGCUAAUUACAAAACUAAUUGCACAGAUGGAAACUAAUUCGCGAGAUGAAUCUAUUAAGCCUAAUUAGUACAUGAUUUGAUAACGUGAUGCUACAGUAAAUAUAAGCUAAUCAUGAAUUAAUUAGGUUUAAUAGAUUCGACUCCCGAAUUAGCCUUCACCUGUGCAAUUGAUUUUGUAAUUAAUCUAUAUUUAAUACUUCUAAUUAGUAUCUAAAUAUUUGAUGUGAGAGGGACUAAACUUUAGUCCGUGGAACCAAACCCCCCUAAAGCUAUCUCCAGCUACUGAACUGAAUGCAUGUCAAAAAGCUACCUGAGGUGCUACUCGAGAUUCUAUGGAAACAGAAAAAGGUACAGAUGCAGCAAUGCAAGGUAGAGAUCAGCUUGACAGGAAAAGUGCAGCUGAGUAAUUAAAUAGGCAAAGAUUAAUACUUGCAAGCUCUAGAACUCAAACCAGAAAGAUGCUCAAGCACACAAGCUAGCUGGCCGACUGAACAAAAUAAAAACUGUCACAGGAUCACCGUUUCACAAUAAACAAGCUCACACAGCAUGAAUUGUUCAACGAAAAGGUAGAGCCUAAAUUGCCUUGCAAUGAUUACUUACUGUAGCAUGACAAUGACAUUUCUUUUGAGAAAUUGUGAUCGGAAAAACAAAAGAGUAGUUUAGUGCUUGGACUCUGUAGCAUGAAAGCAACCUUUCAAGAUACUACCUGCUGCUUGAGCUGCUUACCUGCGUGACCUGCAAAACCAAAAGAUGCAGUUCCUGCACUUGCCGCUGGAAUUCAGAUGACAACUAGUUCCUUCUCUUUACCUGCACAGGCUGUCGACUGCCUGAAGGCCAGGCUGCAGCUGUAAAGACGAACGGCACAGACAGAGAAGAAAAUGCAGAGCUGAGGCUGCUACUGCACAAGAAAAUGGGAGACCCAAAGCCGCAGCCUGCACUGAAGAACACACAAUCGAGUCGCGCAAGAAGCUGCUGCAGAAAACUGAAAGCUUGCUGCUGCGAACACAAGCUGUUGCUGCCACUGAUCAAGCUGCAGGCCGCCUGGCUACCAGAUCACAGAAAUCGAACAACGGCCAGACGAUGCACUCGACGCUCAGCCAACAGUCGGACCAGAUGCAUAUGGUCACACCUCGAUGUGCUGACGGGCGAUCCUCUGGUGCACGACACAGCAAACAGAGCAGAACUGGAGCUUUACACCAAAUUCAACAAAAACUAAUCAAAUCAGGACCGUGUGAGGAAUUCAACAAAAACUAAUCAAAUCAGGACUGAUUCACACGGGAUUUUGGACCGCGAUCUCCUCACAUCAUGAGUAAACAGAUCCAAGAAGAAUUCAACAAAAACUAAUCAAAUCAGGACCGAUUCACACAGGAUUUUGGACCGCGAUCUCACAUCAUGAGUAAACAGAUCCAAGAAGAUGAACCCCAAAACAUCAAGAACUCAUCACCAAUUUUGCAAAUUUCGGGAAACCUAGAACAGGGGGAAAUUUUGGGGAAACAACAAAUUCGAGGUGCUCGGCGAGGGUUUUGUUAGAGAAUCACCCUCACAUAUGUCCUAGCAUCGAUUUGCCCAAGAAAUCCGCCUCAAAUCGCAGAAAAAACCGACAAACGGAAAUUCACCGAAAAAAUGCUUCGAAAAUACAGAAAAAAAACGCUCGGGUAUGGACUAGAGGCGAACACUUGCUCGUAUUGCUCCAUCGUGUUCGUUACCAGCCACUCCAAACUUACUCAAAGCAUUGGAUGAAAAAAAAUCAAAUCAAAGAUCUCUCAUUUUUCUAUCCUCUCUCACAUCCAAAAGCUUUUACAAACAAAUGAGAAGCUCACCAUCAAAGAGAUGUGGCUGUCUAACAACCCUCUCCACACACAUAUAUAUAGACAUCCGGAAAAUGACCAGAAUGUCCUUAUAUGAAGCACACAACUUAAAUACCCCUAGAGGUGAAAUCAUCCAACUUUUUGUCGGUACACGAACGGACCUGGCACCUUCACGACUUUGCUUCACCUCGACGCAAGCUUUAUGAUGGUGCCACGCGUCCUCCGACUAGACGCUGUCCGACCGUACUGGACUCUCUCCUCGGUUUUGAGGCCAAACCGGCAAACCCUCUCGCGCACCCCGCUAGGUGUGACUCACCCCCGGUUUUAAGGUCAAACCAGUCAAAUCCUCUUGCACACCCUGCAAGCAUGACUCAUCCCCGAUUUUGAGGUCAAACCAGUCAAACCCUCUUGCACGCCGCGCACGACGUGACUCACCGACAUCAACGCGUGUCCAGCCUCCGCCAAGCCUUCGACGCCUCCAAGUCUUUCGCUCCCGGCUCUCGGGCCGCCUACUCAACUCGCCUCCAUCCCGAUUGACUCGACCGACGCCGUCUCCAUCCCAUCCAUGUACUCUUGUCUUCCGUGCACCAUGUGGAUCGCCCAUGACUCCAUUUGAACUCCUCGAGUCCCUUGGUCCAAGCCUACUCGAGUCCACCCUUCACAACCCUAGUACAUCGGCAUGAACCUUUCGCUUGACCUUCACCUCAUACCGUCGACCGCCAUAUCGCAUCCUACACCUGCGCAUCACAAGUCAAGAGACACAACACACAAGAUAUGGUUUACACAAACAUCACAACACAACGCACACAACACAACAUAUCCGAUGAGCCGUUAAUAUAAUCAUGCACGUAUGAAAUAUAAACUCAACCGGUAAAACCUCAAAUGAUCCCAUCAAUCACUCAUCACAUCACAAAUAGAUCAAGGUACAUGUCAACUUGACCUCUCGAAGUAUUUACUUGUGCUUAUUGCAAUGCGUGUUGCACGCACGGCUCCUUUUUAGCUGCGUGUUCUUUUUUUUAUUUUCUUCUUUAAAACUUAACAUUAGCGGAGAAGCAGAAAUAUUAACGUGGCCUUAUCCUGAACAAGCAAAUUAAUGAAGUUAACUGAACAAUCAAAUUAAUUAAGCUAAAGAAUUGACCAUGUGCAUGGACUUCGUCUAUCUGCAACGGAUCUUUUCACUUGAAAGAAAAAUACCAAAAGUCAGUCAAGGUACCUUUUGGCGAGGAGACUAUCAUCAUUGCCAUAAUAGAAAAUGUUUUAGGCUUAAUCUAGAUGCCCUAGGCAGUAACAAGGAGAUUAUAUUACUUUACUAUUAUUCAUUUCAAAGGGCCGUUAUAAAAAAGUAAAUCCAAAAAAUACUUAUAAAAAUAAAAAAAUAUCUGAGACCAUCGAUAUGGUAUACUCUAAUCAUCAAUGGUGGACCCACAGAUCGUAUGGAGCCCAAGCAGAGACCAACACAUUUCUCUUCCUGUAUCCAGCAAACAAUGUUCCGACCAUGGACUAAAACAACUGUUCUCUCGCAGAUGUGGUGCUAGAACCCGAGUAGACGCCCUGGGUUGCCGGGCCCCGGGACCACCCCUGGUACUCAUUAUUGAUAACAGUACACAUUCAAUACAUUAUGUUUUCUUUAAUAAUUACACACAUCUGUCGUUAAUGCAGGUCGUCGUGGCUGACGACGACAUGCUGUGGGACAGGAACGUGGAGUACGUGCGGAGGAUGGAGGGGAUGGGGAAGCCGGUGGAGGCCGUCGUGUUCCCGGGGCAGGGCACGCCUUCUUCUCGCUUCGGCCAUGGAGCGAGCCGGUGGAGGAGAUGAUUCAGGUUGUGAAGCGGUUCAUGGACAAGGUCUGCUCAGGCUGAGCUGAGCGGUUACUACUGUAGAUGCACUGAGGUGCUACUUUGUGUUCUGAUUUUUCACUGUAAGCUGCAUAAAAUAAAGGGAGACUAAAUUUUAAGUCUCCAUUACUGGAUAUUUAGAGGAUGUUUGGUUCCCAUGGAUUAAAUUUUAAUCCACAGUUUGGUGCACUUUUAGUCCCUAAACACCCAAACAGGUGGGCUAAAGUUUAGACUAAAAAAUUUAAUCCUCUAAUCCACUAAACUAGACUAAAGGAUGUUGGGGACACCCCUACCCCUCAUUUACCACCCUCCCGCCCGGCUCCCUCCCGCCCGGCCUCCCUCCCACCCGCCACCGUCCCUCCCGGCCCCUGCCGCCUUCCACUCAUCGCCAUCACCGCCCGCCGCCCUUCCGCCCACCGCCUUCCUCCCGCGUGCCGCCAACCUCCCACUACUUUGUAGAUGCACUGAGCUGCUACUUUGUAUUCUGAUUUUUCACUGCAAGCUGUAUAAAAUAAAGAGAGACUAAAUUUUAAGCCUCCAUUACUGGAUAUUUACUAUGUUUUCUUCAUUUUGCCCUUCCAUCCAAAACUAUGGCGCCGAAGUGGUGGAUAGUGUGUGUGACCCAUAAAACUUAGCUUCAAAUUCGGCCGGGCUUCAUGUUGCCGCCAUCGUGGGGUAUGGGCCUGAUUUCUACGCAUACUGGGCUGGGCCAACAUCUGGUGAUCGGUGCUUUGUCUUGACCCAACAGAAGUCCCACCACCAACCUCAAAUUCAGAGGACCUAAUAAUCCUCUCAAAAAUUUAGUAAUAAAUAUCUAUAAUCCUCUAAAAUAGUAUUGAAAAACACUCACGAAAACACACGCUUGCUCAUUUGGACCAGUUCCCAUCUAGUGUACCAUGUUAUACUUUUCGAAGAAAAAAAUUACUUAACAGAUUAUCAGCUCUUUUCCAAGACGUCCUUUCAUAAUCGGACUAUUCAAUAUAAAAUAGAGCAUUGAUCUCUCUGUUCAAUUGUUUUCUUUCAAGAGGACAAUCUGUCCGAAUUGCUGAGUCAUCAUGGAUACCAAGUGGACCAUAUGGUUAGAUGUGCAUUGCAUGCACACUGGUACAAAGAGUUAUCUUUGCUUCCCGUCACUCCAGAGCUCGAUCUGAAUAACAGAACCCAUCCAAAACAAUCGAUCUGCUUUCUCCACUUGGUCUUCCUCGGAUCAUGCGAUCAGCUCGUGAUCCAUCACCCUCCACACCCCCCAUUGGAUAAGUCCAUGACGUGCCUUCUUCUCUUCCAUGUCUGUUAACAUCAGUCUAUCCACCGAUACAUUACUCCAUCAUGCAUCAAUAUCUCAUCUUCCAGAAGGGGUUAAAAGUUGAGCUCUUCAUUCAGUCAGUUCUCCUGAGACCUUUUGUACUGAUGAUGAUGUCCUACCUCUGUCAGUUCAGAAUUUCUCACAUUCAGACCCUACCAUCAAGAAAGAGAUCAGAGAGGCAUCUCCAUAUCCGAUCCGAGAUUGCUCCGGCCUCUCAUUUUCAUUUGCAGUCUAGAGGAUGGGAUAUGGUUCGACGAGCAUGGCCAUAACCCGUCGUUUCUUGGCAGAUAUUUGCCGUGGACUGACUCGAUCAGUUGCAACUGAACUAGCUGUCAAUCUAACCCUCCCCUCCCACCUCCCUCCCCUGCUCACACGCGCUGCCCCUCCUUCCCAUCCUCACGCGCAGGCAGCCGUAUCGAACUGGCGUCAGUUUAGAAUUAAGCAGAGAUUGCAUGAUGCUAGUAAGCAGUCAUCCCAUAUGAUUAGUUCCUUUGUGUGCUUGUACCAACAACUUGCUCUAAUCUUGACAUAUGGGAAUUAAAUCAGCUGGCCCAUGGCUGGAGGGAAUUCCUACGAUGCACUGGAGCAAUGCUCCUCUAUGAUUACAUGCGAUGCCCAUAUGGCGUUCUCAUUCGACAAGAGCUUGAGAGAGAAGAUAUGGCUCAUGAACUCACUCCUGCUCACCAGUGCCGUCCUGGCUGGAGUCAUAGUCGGGAUAGGCAUCUACGGCCAGCGCUACCGCCACCACCGCUUCACCAGGUUUAUCUUCCUCGGAGCCACGACCCUGUUCUUGCCUGUCGUCUCAACUGUUGUCUCCAUGGGCGCCGGGAACAGUAACCACAGCAUACUCGGGCGUGGCAUUCGGUUGAUUGCAGAGUGCCAACCAGAAACACACGCGGUCCUGGUUGUAAUAGGGGCAUCCCUUGUUCAGAUCAUCAUGAUCAAUACCAGUGCAGUAGUUGCUGUCGAUGAUAGAGAAGGUGGAAACGUAGGUCCUCCAUUUGAGCUGCUUGUUCAGAGUGUCUGGACCUUUUACCUUGGUAUCAGCAAUCUCAUUCGCAUCACUGACGGAUUAUUUGACACCGAGGAUCUAAUUAUUCUUGCCCUUGAAGCCACACCUUUUGCUCUCACGUGUGCCAAAAUGGUAUUGAAAUAUUGUGCAUAUGAAAAGGCGCGACAAUCCUUUGCUCUCGGACGCAAUCCCCAUCUUAUAUUUGGAUACAUGAAGCAACAAUCGUUACAAGAAACAAGUCAGGAUGGUGAACCAAUGGUAGCUGAGGAUGCACCUCCCCCGCUGCUGGUUAUGGGAGAAGAGAAAAGACACGUGGAGAAGCAGCCUCUUGGGUAUGUGUUCAAGGAUGACUCAUGGACAACUUCGCAUAACAAUGGCCUGGUGACUAUUGAUAGAGUUUGGAGGAUGGAUAACGUGCUUCCAACAUCAACACUGAAACCACAAAAAGACUUAUGCUUGUCAUUUGCAUUGUUCAAGUUGUUGCGGUGCCGAUUUGCAAGGUACAAGGUCAGAACUGCUGCCUCCAAGGGCACCUUGUCACACCCGGUUUGGAUAAAACCGAAUGCAUCGCAUAUGUGUGCCAGGAUCCGUUCUCACACAUAUAUUGAUGUCAUCAGUGAAUACAUCAAAGACAGUGCUAAAAAACGUACAUAAACCAGUAGGAACUUUAUUACACUCAGCGUGAUAGACACGAAGGUCUUUAAUCGUUCACCGAUAACUUAACACGCACGCACACACAGCGUAGCUUCUCCACAGGCUUGACUGGUGGACUGCCUGCCUAGAACUCCUCGAAGUCGUCGAAGAACCCCCGUCGUCACAAGCUUCUGAACAGCGUUUGGGCAAGGGUGAGUACACUUAUGGUUGGUACUCAGCAGGUGGGGGAAACAUGCAAGGCUCACAAGGAAUGGCUCAAGGCUUUAAGCGGUUAGCGUUUUAAUUGGUCAAAUUUUUAUUAGCAGCACCUAAUUACUAGAUGUAAAUUUAUACCAACCCAAUUAAGCAUAUAACAUUAACAUAACCCAAAGGUAAAGGUAACACAGAUUAAUCUCAUCUUUAAGUUCAAUUAUCAUGUGAGGGUCCAAGCCGCUCUUAACCGUGAGCACGGCUGAUAUAUCAGUUUUCACUCUGCAGAGGUUGUACACUUUACCCACAACUCGUGGUCCCCCGUGUCGCCCGGGUUUGCAAAGCCCUUAAACACUUCCUUUGGUGAGUGGCUGGGGGGUCCACUACGAAGCCUUUACAAAGACACGCAGAUAACUGGUAGCCCGCUAGAGUUUCAGUAGCGAUGCGGACCACAACCCGUUAAUGAGACAGCACCUUAGCGAAGGCUACUGCUCCGGAUCGUGCACUCAACACCUUCCCCCUCCUUGCCCUUUCGGUAAAGCCACCAGCUAACUACAUGGCUAAUUAUUCGGCUAAGAUCAGAGCCAUAUGAUGUUGUGGUUGUACUAUUUUCUUGGAUGGUUCUCCAUGUUCCGAUUAAAAUAAAUGUUCUUGCAAUUAAACAUACAUAGCAACAUAAAUAAAGCAUGAUUAACAUGUUUCAUGAUUAACACAUUACCAACCCAAUUUAAGCGACUAGCAAGUCUACCCAAUAUGAUUAAACAGGUUUGCAAGGAAUAAGGAUUAAAACUAGGUAAGUCCUUAAUAGGCAUUCCCAUCAAAUUUAUGCACAUACAAGAAAUAAGUAAAGUGCUUAAUCAUGAUAUUAUUGGGACAAAAAGAACAUGCAGGGGGAGAAGGCCACUUGCCUUCCUUGGCAAACUGGGAGUACUCUUCUUCGAACGGUGGCUGCUCUUGGACUUGCUCCUCCGCGAACGUCACGUCGUCUACACGAUCACACAAGGCAAACAAACAAAGAAUGAUUAAAACAGUACAACAAACAUAUGCAAAGGCUUACAACAAACUUUUAAAUCUAACGUUCAUGCAGAGACGAUCGCGUGAGCGCGAGAAUCGCUGAAAUCGGAUUUAAAACGAAGAAGAUAUGAGAUAAACAAGUUUCAGGAGCUAAAACAGAAUUAGAAUUAACUAUAUACUUCAGGGGCUAGCAAGGAAUUUUAGAAAUAUAUACUGAACAGAACAUGCAAAAAUAGAGAAACAUAGGGUUAGAUCUACAAAAUGACAUGGCUCGGGUUAAAAUAAAAGAAUACAGGAACUUCAGGGACUUCUCUAGAAAAUUUACGAGACACAAGAAUUAAGUAAAAGGAAUAACAGAGAGUUCAGGGACUAGAUCGCAAAAACUCCAUCUUCUUCCUCCAACAGACAACCAAGCACACAGGGGCAUGGCCGACGGGGAGGGGGUCUCGCCGGUGUGGGCGGAGGCCUCGCCGGCGGCGAGCUCGCCGGCGCGCGGGCGGCGGUGCCUCGGUGGGGGAGAGGAGGGAGAGAGGGAAAGGAAGGGGAGGGCCUCACCGGAGAAGAACAGAAGCUUCGCCGGCGACAGUACGGGCGACGGCGUGGCUUGGGCGGCGGCGCGACGGUGUGAGAGAGUGGCGGGUGAGUAGCAAAACGGAAAGGGAAACUCCGGGCGAGGUCGAUGGCGACCUUUAUAGGCCCCGGGGAGGAGCGGAGGGGGCUCCCGGGAGAGAUCGAAGGUCAGCCGGCUAUUAAUGGCCUUCAAGCUUGUGCGGCCGUUUCCGGGGAGAGGAAAGGAUGGGGCGACGAUUUGAGGUCGGGACUGGGGGAGGGGAGACGUCGCGAGGUCGUGGAGGGGCUCGGGAGGCCAAGGGACACCGGGAGGCGAGGGCCCCCGGCCGGCGGUGCAUAGGGGCGCACGGUGGCGCUUCAGGUGCGGGAGGUGGAAGAAGCAGGCCGGCUGGGCCGAUUUGGGCCGGUCGGUGGGGAAGAAAGGAGAGGGAGGUGGCAGCCCAAAGAGAAAAGAGAAGCUGGGCCGGCGCAAGAAAAAGAGGGGGGAAAAGGAGAGGGGAGGUGGCGGCCCAAGAGGAAAAAGGAGAGUUGGGCCUGCGUAGGGAGAAAAGAGGGGGAGAAAAGGAAAAUGGGCCGGCUGGUGGAAAGGGCCCAUUCGGUUGGGAGGGGGAAAGGGAAAAAAAUGCUUGUGGGCUGAAAGAGAGAGAAGAUAUUUCGGCCCAAGGAGAGGAAACAGAGGUGGAGGAUUUUGAGAAUUUAAAAUAGAGUUGAAGUUUUCAAAUCCAAUUCAAAUUCAAAAGCAAGCAUUCAAACAAAAGCCAAAAUAAAAGAGAAAAGAAAAACUCUACCAAGCACUUAUUGCUUCUAAAAUUAUUUCAAGUGCUCUUUAAUUAUUUAAAGACUGUAAUUUAAUUAAAGUAAUUUAUUUAAUCCUUAGAGCACGAAAAACUAGACCGAGUUGCUUACAUUAUUUUCAUGAUGGAAUUUUAGGUGUUACACACCUUCAUUUUUUUCUGGAGCUUAUUGCUGAAGGAUGGCGAACAUGAUAGGGUCUGUUUGGUCAUUUCGGAUGAGCUUUCUUUCCUUCGUGAUUAUUAUUAUUCAUCCCUCCCGACCUCCUAUUCCAAGUAUUGGUUGCCCGUUGCCGGUAUCUUGAUCUCACUACUGAGCAUAGCUUACUGUUGUGCAUUGAUGAUCACAAUAACGUUUUUGGUAGUCCUGCAGUAUGAUGAAUCCCUACCUCAGAUUAGUUGCACUGUUUUUUGCAUUCGAGAACAACUGAUGAGCAACACCAAGUAUAAAGAUUAUGGGAACUGGUGCCAGUAAUUUUGCUUUCGGUGUUAGUGAUGAUGUCUGAGGUGACGGACAUAGCUACCUACAUCUACUCCAACUGGACUAAAGUUGCCGUCACCUGCCACCUUGUAAACCAUGCCUCUUCGCAGCAUUCACUUCUCAAGAAGAAAUGGAUUGGCCUUCUGCUGCGUUGUCGAUGCAAGCUGAUGAAGCAUUGGGAUGAGAAAAUAGGUCAGUGCACUAUGCUGGAGAUUCGCCCGAGCACAACCCUGCCUGUACUAAUUCUCAGGCGUCUCCUCCACUUACCAGACCACAAGAGGAAGGUCAAGGUGCCUGCAGCAGUGAAGGUUUGCAUCAUGGAAGUUGUAAGAAGCACUAGAAAUGGAGACCUUAGCAAUGGCACAGCAUCUCUCCGCCGCCGGGGCCAAGUUGGUGAAAGGCUCCUCUGGGCUUGCAACACCAAGAGUACGUCUUAUACCAUACUGACAUGGCACAUCGCCACAUGCAUCCUCGAGGUCAGGUACCCACACCGGCUUGAUCAACGACAAGGUUCUUCUUCUCCAAUUCCAAACACGGAUUAUAAGAUCGUUGCCACUCACCUAUCAAGGUACUGUGCUUACCUUGUGACAUGGUGCCCUGAGUUACUCCCUGAUGAUGAUGCAUGGAGCAGGAGCCUGUACGAGGAUGUCAAGAAGGAUGUUGAGCGUGUACUUGCCGGCUGCACAGCAGGAGACUCACUGACGCCAGAAGCAAAUUGCCAACAGCUGAUCGAAGUGCUGAGUGCAGAUGCGAAGCAUGAAGUGCUCAAGGAAGGCGCUAGGCUUGGAAAGCAGUUGUUGGCGCUGGUGGUCGAAGGUGAGGACGAUACGGCGGCGUGGAAGUUACUGGCUGAAUUUUGGUCGGAGAUGAUCGUGUAUGUCGCGCCAUCCGACAACCUCAAAGGUCAUUCGGAGGCCAUCGCCAGGGGUGGCGAGCUGAUAACUCUGCUCUGGGUGUUGCUCUUCCAUGCUGGGAUCCUCAGUAGGCCAGGUGAGGACGACGGCGUUGCUCCUACUUCUGCUG
rnacentral:lncRNA from 1 species